GACGAACGCUGGCGGCGUGCCUAAUACAUGCAAGUCGAACGCACUCUCGUUUAGAUUGAAGGAGCUUGCUCCUAAUUGAUAAACAUUUGAGUGAGUGGCGGACGGGUGAGUAACACGUGGGUAACCUGCCCUAAAGUGGGGGAUAACAUUUGGAAACAGAUGCUAAUACCGCAUAAAACCUAACACCGCAUGGUGUAGGGUUGAAAGAUGGUUUCGGCUAUCACUUUAGGAUGGACCCGCGGUGCAUUAGUUAGUUGGGUGAGGUAAAGGCUCACCAAGACCGUGAUGCAUAGCCGACCUGAGAGGUAAUCGGCCACACUGGGACUGAGACACGGCCCAGA
rnacentral:rRNA from 1 species